GUUGGUAUUUGGGGGUAUCUCACUAAGCUUUCGGGCUUACAGUUGUGGUUUUAUGUUUUCAGGUUCUCAGGAGACUGUGGCAAGGCAAAGGUGUGAUCGUACCGUUCCUCGCGUUGGUGUUUUAUGAAAUGGACCUGGGAAAUACUCUGUUAAAUAAUGUAUUGAAAACCUUUUUAUAAAGAUUUAAUGAAAUCGUGGUGUUUCUUUGAAAAUUUAAAAUUGGUUGUAUUUUUCGGUUGUUACAAGUUGGUAUCAGAGCCUUGGUUUGAGUGAAUUGGAGGAACACUCAUGUGACUCCGGUCUCAAAUCGAGGAGGGUUUUAAAAAGAGAAAUUAAAAUGGUUUUCAAAUUAAGUAAAAGGAGGACGCGGAGGUACGAUCAGCUGGAGCCAGUAAGUAACCCCAAAUAUGGGUAGGUGUGGAAGGUAGUAUGGGCCCGUACUACUGAAAGCACAGGACCCAUACGCGUAUCAGGGAAACCAUGACCUCUAGGGUUGGGUUGAGAGUUGGUUCCCGGGAUAGUGGGAAGUGCCUGAGGUUUUGUGGUUAUUACAGUAUGGUGAUUUCGAGGCAUUAUGGGAUUGGAUCCAGGUCAGGAUCGGGUGCAGGAGAAGGAGUUGCGGACGGGUCAGUACCGCCCGAGGUUAUCGGUCAGAUGAGCACGAGUGAGUUGGAUGCGAGGAUUCGUGAGAUCCUGCGUGAGGAGAUUGCUGAGUUGUUCCGGGCUGAGUGCCAUAACUGUUUGGGUCAAUUAAGACCACCAUGGUUGAGUAUUUUGAUGAGCGUUAUGUAGCUCUCACUGAGACGGCUGCCGCUGCGGCUACAACGGCUGGGGGAGGGGGGGGGGNUAGUCGGGGUUUUCAGUAUCGGGACUUCGAUAAUAUGAAGCCUCCCACCUUUGAUGGAGUUCAGGACCCGAUUGUUGCUAUGAGAUGGUUAUCGGACGUGGAGGGGUGUUUCUUCACGUGUUCAUGCCCUGCUAAUCAGAGGGUGAGGUGUGCUCUAAACCUUUUGAGGCAGGGCAAAGGAUUGGUGGAGAUUGAUCAUGGGGUCGUAUUCGGAUGCGCAGAGGGCUGCGGUUUCAUGGGAUCAGUUCAGAGAGAUGUUCAGCGCUCGUUAUGUUCCGCGGGUUGAGAGAGAAAGAUUGGCUCAGGGGUUCCUCGAGCUAAAGCAGGGUUCGGAGUCGGUGACGGAGAUCACCAGAAUGUUCACUCGGAGGGCGAUGUUUUGCCCAGAGUUUGCUUCGGAGCAGGCUCAGAUGUCUCGAUAUCUGAGCAUGCUCAAGAGGGACAUCAGACAGUUGUGUCUGCGCAGAGGUGCAAGACCUUUUUGGAGUUGCAGGAGGCCGCUAGGAUUGAGUUGCAGUUGCGUGAGCUGAGGCAGGCUCCGGUGCAGUCGCAGCCGGCGCCGAAACGGUCCAAGACCGUUGAUGUUAGAGUGGGGGAUCUGAGCAGCCACACUUGUGGGAAGUGUGGGAAGGGUCACACCGGGGUUUGUUGGUCCGGUGGUACAUGCCGCAAGUGCAGAAAGGAGGAGCACUAUGCAAGGGAUUGUCGGCAGUCAGCGCCAGUUCGGGAUUUGAGGAUUUGCUAUCAUUGUCAUCAGGUUGGGCAUUUGAGGGUCAACUGUCCACAGCUUGCUGCAGGACCGGUGCAGGCUCCAACACCGGCCACUUUGAGGAUCACCGGUGGAGGGCAGGGGGGGNCUCAGGGUCGUGCUUAUCAGCUUGCGGCAGAGGAGGUCAGAGCAGUGCCGGAUGCAGCUGCGGGUAUGUUUCUUUUGUUAUCUUGUGAUAUUGUGGUGUAUUGUUUAUGAGCUGGUAUUUUGUUGGUUUUCGAUGUGGUAUUCGUCAUUUUGCGGGUGGUGGUUUUGGUUAUGGGUUAUUGUUUUGGGAAUUCCGUUGAUUAUCAUUCAUGAGGGUUAUUAGUGGAAACUUGGCAUUGGGUUGCAGGCUGGGUAGCAUCUGCUUUCUGAGGAGUGGUUCGAUACAGAUUGAGUUUCUUUCGAGCAAGUUGAUCAGUGUGGGAAUGUGAUUUCUAUGAAGGUUGCUUGAGCUAGUAGGAAUCAGCCCGCGUAUAAGUGUUGGUUUUGUGCAGAGUUGUUUUGGGAGGUCGGUGAUGGCGACCGAUGGUUGAUAGUCAGUACCCUAAGUGGGGGAGAAUUGGAAAAUUCUCCGGAAGAUCGUUAAGCAUGUGAGGUUGCUUAGCUGUUUGGGAUUCAGCAGUGUUCUGUCAGCCCAGAGUGUAGGCUGGUAUGAGUAAGUGUCGGGCAUGCGGGGCGGGAUACAGACCUAGAGCAUUUGAUUGUGGAAGGCCUGGGAUCGGGCCGGGAACGAGUAUGUAUGAUGGUGAUAGAGUUCGGAACCCCUAGAGGGCUAGAACAGUUUGCAUGGGAGGAUUUCUUAGAGAUGUAGCUCGGAAUGAUGGAUGUUAGUUGAGCAGUCCGGAUAGGCUGAAGGUUCUGAGAGUGGUCCAAAUGGACUGAAGGCCUGGUGAGGCGGUCCGGUCAUGCUGAAGACUCUGCAGGUAUUGUUGGAUCAGUUUGAGAUUAUGGAUCGGGUACGUCGCGAUGUGUUAGCACUAGAAGGUCUGGCCCCGGGGAUUGAUCUUGAUUAGUAGAGAUGGUGCAUGGACUCGAGAGUCCUUGCGAGCAGAUUCAGGGCAUAUGUGUUGCAUGGAUAGUAGUUAUGCUAUAAGGGGUGGUGCAGCGUUGGGUGAGCACCGUGGCACUUGUCGUGGUGACAAGGCAGCCAAGUGGAUCUCCUUGGUGAGGAGAGAGAGAGGAGUGUAGCUCCAAGAGGAAGAGUAAAUUCACGGAAGUGAAAGCGGCAGCGUGGAGUUAUGAUCGGAGUGGUUCGACGGUGGUCAUUGAGCAGCAUGAUUGCGAUGAUGGAAUGGAAUGACAUCAUGAUGGGAUGUCUGCUGAGGACGCGGGAGGAAUUCCGCAGAUGUAGAGCCAAAAGACUCGGAAGGGGAUGUAGGGAGAGAGUCUUGGGCUCUCAGUGUGAUUCUGAUCAGGGUAUUGGUUAUGUAUUAGUGGUUCAUGGCUUUCUAGCCCUUAUGGGUCGAGUGAUUGUUGGGAUUUGGGGCAGUGAUGCUUCAUUGGUAAUUCUCGGUUAUUGAGCGUGAUUAUCAGAGGGUACAGUCGGUGCCCGGCUUGAGGCGGUGGUCAAAACACCGCAAGAAAGGAGGAAGUGAGUUUCGGGUGUCGAUGGUUGUACCUUGAGGGACCUGGUUUGGUUAGUGCCAGCUAGUGCAUUGCAGGGGAAGUUCUGAUUUAGAGUUGCUACAGGCUUCGAGGACGAAGCCUAAUUUAAGUGGGGGAGAAUUGUAACACCCCGUUCUUCGAGUGUUCAAUUAUAAGUCCCUGAGAUUUAAGAGGAAGGGUAAUUCUGGUCCCUUUCGAGAAAUGAGCUUCAUCCGAGAAGGUUUCGGACGGGUUUAUGUGCUAGUGGUAUUGGGCUUCUCGUUGCCCUCGCAUGAAUGUGAAGUUAUUUGGGAGCGGGUUUAGAUUAGAGGAGUUGAGGUGUUUUGAAGUUGAACGUUGUUCAUAGCCCUUUUGUGUAAUGAGAAGGAGAUGGUCCCAUGCAUGCAUGGCAUGCAUGCAUGAUUCUGGUUUUGAAAGGUGGCUGGGUACGCCCAGCGUAAGCUAGACGUACGCACAGCGUAAGUGUAUGUGUAAUACGCGUUGGCCGGGUGAGUACGCCCCGCGUACCAGGGAGGUACGCCCAGCGUACUCUCAGGAACCCAAACCCUACUUUUAGGGUCAGCCGCUAUAUAAAGAACAUGUUGGUUCAUCCCUCAGCCUCCUUAUACUCAUCUUCAACCUCAGAGAACCCUAAAACUCGUAUUCCCUCCAUAGUUGAGGGUGAUUGACCUUUGGAAGCUCUUGUUGGCAAAAGAAAAGCUUGAAGGAGAAAAGGGAAGUUGUCAAGGUAGAAGAAGAACGUGUGGAGCUUGUAGAUCUGAAGUAAUAACACCCUUUUGGAGUUGGUUUAAGGUAUAAAGCUUCUUGCUUGACCUUCAUAUUGCAUAGAUCUUUGUAUUUUGAAGCUUUGUUAUCAUUCUUGUCCCAAAAGUCCUUAGCUUGUUGCAUAGUUCGAUUUAGCCAAGAUUAUCUGUCCUUUUAGACCUUUGGAGAGGUCUUGACUGAUAAAGAUGAGGUCCCAGGGGUUGUAGUUGUUUCUUGUAUGAGUUAUGUAGGUCUUAAUGGAUUAAGACCUUGGAUUUAGAGCUUAAAGGACGUCCCAAGUGAUAAAGUUUGAGACUUUAUGAUUCCUGAUCAUAUUUGGCCUAUGGAUCUGGAAUUUGGGCUUAAGAGCUUAAGCCAUUAAGAUGUUAAAGGACUUAAUAGAUCUCGCAGUUACGCCCCGCAUAACCUUAAGUACGCCCCGCGUAGAGGGCCGAUAUCCCGUUUUCAGUUUGAUGAUCUCUGCAGUACGCCCCGCGUACCAAGGAGAGUACGCCCCGCGUACUCCUCCUGUGGACGUCCUUUUGGGCUUUUGUGUUGGGCCAUUUGGGGGUUGUUGGUGUUUGGGCCAAGUCUGGAAAGUAUGAAUAGAGUAUUUUGGGCCCAAUUAAUAUUAUGGAUAUUGGAUCUAGGCCCAUUUGGUGAGGUGGGCCCAAUUUGGUAAAUUGGGCCAAUGUGGGAUUUUGUGUGAGAUUGGGACUUUGGUCUUGGCCCGAUAAGUGAAAGUAUGAUUGACCCUAUGUUUAUUUUGUGAUGAUGGUUAGUUCGGGAUUUGCGGGAGUUGGUGAUUCGAGAGUCUGCUUCUUCGGUUCAGAGUGUCGGCAAUCGCGAGGUGAGUUAUCCUCACUAUAUCAACGGGGUUUAAGGCACCAAGGCCGACCCUUUAUUGGAUGGAAAUCCGGGUAGUUGUCUGUUGUUAUGAUAUUGCGUGUUAUGGGCUGGAAGGCAUUAUGUUAUGGGCCGGAAGGCAUUAUAUGUUGUGGGCCGGAAGGCAUUAUGAUUUGGGCCGGAAGGCAUUAUAUAUUAUGUGGACCGGAAGGUCGUGGCCUGGAAAGGCGUAUGUGCGUAAGUAGUAUUUUGGCUGAGACGUAGGGUGAUGUUAUGUUCGUGAUCGGUUAGCUCGGAAUCCUGGUUAGGGUGAUGAUAUGUUAUGUGAUCUGUUUGAUCGAUUUGUUGACUGUGAACUGUUAUGAUUGAAUGUUAUGUACGCACGGUUGUUUGGACUAGGGUUUGACCCAAUAUGCAUGGCUAUUCUAUGUUCUGUUAUGAUAUGUAUGUUGUUUAUGUUAUGGGCUGGAAGGCAAUAGGUUAUGGGCCGAAAGGCAAUAUGUUAUGGGCCGGAAGGCAUUAUGUUUUGGACCAGAAGGUCGUGGCCUGGAAGGGCGUAUAUGUGGUUGGUAUUUGGGGGUAUCUCACUAAGCUUUCGGGCUUACAGUUGUGGUUUUAUGUUUUCAGGUUCUCAGGAGACUGUGGCAAGGCAAAGGUGUGAUCGUACCGUUCCUCGCGUUGGUGUUUUAUGAAAUGGACCUGGGAAAUACUCUGUUAAAUAAUGUAUUGAAAACCUUUUUGUAAAGAUUUAAUGAAAUCGAGGUGUUUUUUUGAAAAUUUAAAAUUGGUUGUAUUUUU
rnacentral:lncRNA from 1 species